AUGCACGCUGGCGGCGUGCUUCACACCUGCAAGUCGAACGAUGAAGCUCAGCUUGCUGGGUGGAUUAGUGGCGAACGGGUGAGUAACACGUGAGUAACCUGCCCUUAACUCUGGGAUAAGCCUGGGAAACUAGGUCUAAUACCGGAUAGGAGCGCCUACCGCAUGGUGGGUGUUGGAAAAAUUUAUCGGUUUUGGAUGGACUCGCGGCCUAUCAGCUUGUUGGUGAGGUAAUGGCUCACCAAGGCGACGACGGGUAGCCGGCCUGAGAGGGUGACCGGCCACACUGGGACUGAGACACGGCCCAGACUCCUACGGGAGGCAGCAGUGGGGAAUAUUGCACAAUGGGCGAAAGCCUGAUGCAGCGACGCCGCGUGAGGGAUGACGGCCUUCGGGUUGUAAACCUCUUUCAGUAGGGAAGAAGCGAAAGUGACGGUACCUGCAGAAGAAGCACCGGCUAACUACGUG
rnacentral:rRNA from 1 species